rnacentral:rRNA from 1 species
UGGGGAAUAUUGGACAAUGGGCGAAAGCCUGACCCAGCAACGCCGCGUGGGCGAUGAAGGCCUUCGGGUCGUAAAGCCCUUUUGCGGGGGACGAUGAUGACGGUACCCCGCGAAUAAGCCACGGCUAACUACGUGCCAGCAGCCGCGGUAAUACGUAGGUGGCGAGCGUUGUCCGGAUUUACUGGGCGUAAAGGGCGUGCAGGCGGCCCGUUAAGUUCGAGGUGAAAGCUCCCGGCUCAACUGGGAGAGGUCCUCGGAUACUGGCGGGCUUGAGGGAGGCAGAGGAAAGUGGAAUUCCCGGUGUAGUGGUGAUAUGCGUAGAUAUCGGGAGGAACACCAGUGGCGAAGGCGGCUUUCUGGGCCUUACCUGACGCUGAGACGCGAAAGCGUGGGGAGCGAACCGGAUUAGAUACCCGGGUAGUCCACGCCGUAAACUAUGGACACUAGGUGUGGGGGUAUCGACCCCCUCCGUGCCGAAGCUAACGCAAUAAGUGUCCCGCCUGGGGAGUACGGCCGCAAGGCUAAAACUC